GGGCCGGUAGCUUAACGGUAGAGCGGCUGCCUUGCAAGCAGUUAGGUGGGGGUUCAACUCCCCUCUGGUCCAC
rnacentral:tRNA from 2 species